rnacentral:rRNA from 1 species
CCUACGGGAGGCAGCAGUGGGGAAUAUUGGACAAUGGGGGGAACCCUGAUCCAGCCAUGCCGCGUGUGUGAAGAAGGCCCUCGGGUUGUAAAGCACUUUCAGUGAGGAAGAACGCCUGGUGGUUAAUACCCAUCAGGAAAGACAUCACUCACAGAAGAAGCACCGGCUAACUCCGUGCCAGCAGCCGCGGUAAUACGGAGGGUGCGAGCGUUAAUCGGAAUUACUGGGCGUAAAGCGCGCGUAGGUGGCUUGAUAAGCCGGUUGUGAAAGCCCCGGGCUCAACCUGGGAACGGCAUCCGGAACUGUCAAGCUAGAGUGUAGGAGAGGAAGGUAGAAUUCCCGGUGUAGCGGUGAAAUGCGUAGAGAUCGGGAGGAAUACCAGUGGCGAAGGCGGCCUUCUGGACUGACACUGACACUGAGGUGCGAAAGCGUGGGUAGCAAACAGGAUUAGAUACCCCUGUAGUC